AUUGAACGCUGGCGGCAGGCCUAACACAUGCAAGUCGAGCGAGCGGCGGACGGGUGAGUCAUGUCUGGGAAACUGCCUGAUGGAGGGGGAUAACUACUGGAAACGGUAGCUAAUACCGCACACCAUCAGAUGUGCCCAGAUGGGGUUGGCUAGUAGGUGGGGUAACAGCUCACCUAGGCGAUGAUCCCUAGAUGGUCUGAGAGGAUGACCAGCCAAACUGGAACUGAGACACGGUCCAGACUCCUACGGUAGGCAGCAGUGGGAAAUAUUGCACAAUGGGCGCAAGCCGGAUGCAGACAUGCCGGUUGUAUGAAGAAGGCCUUAGGGUUGUAAAGUACUUUCAGCGGGGAGGCGUUACCCGCAGAAGACGCACCGGCUAACUCCGUGCCAGCAGCCGCGGUAAUAC
rnacentral:rRNA from 1 species